AUUGAACGCUGGCGGCAGGCCUAACACAUGCAAGUCGAACGGUAGCACAGAGGAGCUUGCUCCUUGGGUGACGAGUGGCGGACGGGUGAGUAAUGUCUGGGAAACUGCCCGAUGGAGGGGGAUAACUACUGGAAACGGUAGCUAAUACCGCAUAACGUCGCAAGACCAAAGAGGGGGACCUUCGGGCCUCUUGCCAUCGGAUGUGCCCAGAUGGGAUUAGCUAGUAGGUGGGGUAACGGCUCACCUAGGCGACGAUCCCUAGCUGGUCUGAGAGGAUGACCAGCCACACUGGAACUGAGACACGGUCCAGACUCCUACGGGAGGCAGCAGUGGGGAAUAUUGCACAAUGGGCGCAAGCCUGAUGCAGCCAUGCCGCGUGUAUGAAGAAGGCCUUCGGGUUGUAAAGUACUUUCAGCGAGGAGGAAGGCGUUGUGGUUAAUAACCGCAACGAUUGACGUUACUCGCAGAAGAAGCACCGGCUAACUCCGUGC
rnacentral:rRNA from 1 species